GCUAGGGCUGCAUAAACAGAAACAAAGUGAUUUAACUCCUAAAUGACAGUCAAUUGAGCAGUGAAAUUGCAGGGGAAUGAUAGUAAUUUAGGUGACUAUAGUGUUCAUUUAAGGUCCAUACUAUUCUUAUUACCAUCGAUGAAAGUUAUUUUUCGUAACAAUUUUGAGAACACAUGUCCUUUAAUUCUCCUUUCAUUAUCCUAUAGUUUCACACUAUAUUUAUACCCCUUCUAAUAACCUUUGAAGGGUAUUCUCUUGCCAUUAUGUUUGGCAAACUGUGAAGGUUUACUUAGUGCCUACUUAGUAUUCAACUCCUACUAAAGUCUAAAGGUGACUUAGGAGUUAACACACUUUUCUACCACGUGCUCCGUUCCAUUAGUGAACACGCCCCCUCAUCAAUUUGAUUCACGGACGCCACAUGACAUCACGCCUGAUGGGCGUACCCCAUUGUGGGUUUAAAAAGAGGCGCGUGUAAGCCCACAGUCAGCUCUUGACAAAGGCAAUAAGGUUCGCCGAAACGCACCUUGAGCCAG